AAAAAGUGGUGGAGAACUGGGUUAGCAAAAGGUGAAGGUGAAGAUCAUUAGAGGUUUUAGGGCUGGCUGUGGCUGUUCUGCUGGGUUUGUGUGGCUGUGCCCAGAGGGCGGAGUUCCUGCAUAUUCCUACCUCACCGGAGAACCUGCCCUCAACUCCACUGCAGUUUAUUCCAGACAGAUGGGACCCUCCAGAACGAAAACCUGCCCAGCAAUCUCAGCAAGCCUUCCCGCCAGCAGGGUAGGUGAAGUUAAAGAAAACCUCCACUCCUUCUCCCUACAGGCAGAUACCUGUGAUGCGAAUUAAAAUACAUGACAGACUUCUGUCUACACAUACUGUUUUCCACUACCUAAAUAAUAACCAGCUCGUCUGCACGACUGAAGCAUAGUUUAAAAACACCAGUUACAUCUGAACUGUUUGUGCCCAAAGUUAGGAUUUUCCUCUCCCUCCCCCCAGCUCUUUAAUUUAAUCAGUUAAGAGGACUAAAGCCAAGGAAGUGGCACGUGCAAUGUUUUGUUUGGCUUUUUAAGACGCUGUGCAGAACUACCUGUACCUGAAAGAAAAAGAGGAUGCCAAAGUGGUGGCGAUACUUUCUCGAGCAGAUUUGAUCAUUGGAGGUAAACAUGGAGUUAACUGGAUCUGAAUAACAGAGUAGGUAUCUUUGGAAGAAGAAGGUGACAUGAAGAGGCGCGUCUGACAGCCAAAGUGGGGGAACUGUCCGGGAGAAGGACACGUGAUGAAUUGAGAGCUGCGUGGUCACGGUGCAAAGGGAGAAUAGGACAGUGUGCUGGUACCAAAUGCCUUUUUUCCCCUUGCUUGAACAACACAAAAAUGGGGGGAGGGGAAGAGAGAUGGGGGUUGGGAGGGAGAGAUCCGUGGAGUUAGUGGCUGUCUAGAGGAGUGUAAACACGAACCCAUCAUCUUCUUGGGAGGAGGGGAGUCUGCUUUUGUCAAACCUGCUAGUGUCUGGAAGAUAAAGGCAAAGAGGCCACUGGACCAGCCUGAGAUUCUGCCUUGAAAUCUGGACCCGAAAUGAUUCAAAGGACAAAAAGGGGGAAAAUAAUCCUAAAAUCUCCCAGGCAGGCAGCUGUCCGGGGUUAAAACCGGUUAUUUGUUCAUUGCCUUGAUAUCGUAGAGAGGAAAGGCUGCCACAGAACGCGGGGGGGGGGGGGGGGGAAGGUUUUAAAUAAUAUCCGAUUCCUCUGGUAACUUGGUACAAGUCUCAAUUUAGCUGCAGCCCAGGCAGCUCUGGAGGUUUAGGGGAGAUGUAAAUGUUGUAACUUCUCGGAUUGCGUGUGACCCUGAGCGGUACUGCUAUGAUUUCAAUAAACACUUUACAAUCGACUAAACUAGCUCCUUCGUCCGUCAGAAAACAUCACUUCGAGUCUCGAAUAAAAUAUUGUGGAAUAGUCUGAGCUAAACGUUGCUUUGCAAAAGCACUUUCCUUGCCAAUCUCCCAGUAACUGCGCACACCCUGGCACUGAGAGUUCUAUAAACGAUGCCGUCUUUAUAUCAGUUACCAACAACAGGUUAAAAUUCACUUCUAUCACUGUGUUCUUGGGAAGUGUGAGUGUGUGUCCGUGUGUGCUGGGAUAGGGGAGGAAGUGAUCUAUUAUAAUGAAUUCGUUUUGAAUCUGCACCCAGAUCCGUAUAUCUUCCUCUCUGACCCCGGGCAGUCAACCCCAGUUUUGGUCUGAAAACUUAUUCGAGAGAGCUCAGUGGAGAGCGAGCGGGCGAGGUCCCUUCACUUUACUGGAAGUCUGAGGUGUGCUGAGAUCUGUACUUCAACCAGACUUGAUGUGACUAUGUCUACAGUUUCGUUUGCUAACUAUCACAUCUCCUAUAUUUAAAGGAAAGAAAUAACGUUCCCUAGAAAUAAUUACCCGGGACGGCAGCCAGUAUGGGGAAAGUGAAUGUGGAUGGAAUUAGGGAUAGAGCAAUGUCCUGCAAUAAGUGAUCGUAACACAAAUUAAACAAGUUUUAUUGUGUCAUACCAUCCUAUCAGUGCUGACCCCAGCAUGGAACGAGGUGCUGUUCAACGGGGAAUUUUGUUUAAGUACUUACGACAAUAAAUGGCCCAUUGUUAUUAAAAUAAAUGGUCUGUUAGAUUUCUAAUAGUUGUAUUUAAAAAUAUUAUCUAUUACGCACCUGUGACAGCUAAAGAAUAAAACUAAAGAAAAACAAUAAACAAUAAAAUG